rnacentral:rRNA from 1 species
UGCCAGCAGCCGCGGUAAUACGGAGGGUGCAAACGUUGUUCGGAAUUACUGGGCGUAAAGCGUGCGUAGGCGGAUCGACAAGUUGGGGGUGAAAUCCCGGGGCUUAACCCCGGAACUGCCCCCAAAACUGUCGAUCUAGAGACCGGGAGAGGUAAGCGGAAUUCCUAGUGUGGAGGUGAAAUUCGUAGAUAUUAGGAAGAACACCAGUGGCGAAGGCGGCUUACUGGACCGGUACUGACGCUGAGGCGCGAAAGCGUGGGUAGCAAACAGGAUUAGAUA